GACGAACGCUGGCGGCGUGCUUAACACAUGCAAGUCGAACGGUGAAGCGCCUUCCUUUUUGGUGGGUGUGGAUGAGUGGCGAACGGGUGAGUAACACGUGAGUAACCUGCCCCCUUCUUCUGGAUAACCGCAUGAAAGUGUGGCUAAUACGGGAUAUUCUGGGUCUGUCGCAUGAUGGGUCUGGGAAAGAUAUUGUUUCGGUGGGGGAUGGGCUCGCGGCCUAUCAGCUUGUUGGUGGGGUGAUGGCCUACCAAGGCGGUGACGGGUAGCCGGCCUGAGGGGGUGGAGGGUCCAACGGGGAAGGAAGCACGGCCCAGACUACUACGGGGGGCAGCGGGGGGGAAUAUGGCAAAAGGGGCGAAAGCCGGAUGCAGCGACGCCGGGGGGGGGAGGGGGGCCUUGGGGUGGUGACCCUUUUUCGCGAGGGAAGGAGGCCUGCCUCGUUUGGGGGGGGUUUGAGGGUAGGGGGAAAAGAAGCCCCGGCUAACUACGG
rnacentral:rRNA from 1 species